rnacentral:rRNA from 1 species
GAUGAACGCUGGCGGCGUGCUUAACACAUGCAAGUCGAACGGUGAAGGCGGAGCUUGCUCUGCUGGAUCAGUGGCGAACGGGUGAGUAACACGUGAGCAAUCUGCCCCUGACUCUGGGAUAAGCGCUGGAAACGGCGUCUAAUACUGGAUACGAGCCGCGAAGGCAUCUUCAGCAGCUGGAAAGAAUUUCGGUCAGGGAUGAGCUCGCGGCCUAUCAGCUUGUUGGUGAGGUAAUGGCUCACCAAGGCGUCGACGGGUAGCCGGCCUGAGAGGGUGACCGGCCACACUGGGACUGAGACACGGCCCAGACUCCUACGGGAGGCAGCAGUGGGGAAUAUUGCACAAUGGGCGAAAGCCUGAUGCAGCAACGCCGCGUGAGGGACGACGGCCUUCGGGUUGUAAACCUCUUUUAGCAGGGAAGAAGCGAAAGUGACGGUACCUGCAGAAAAAGCGCCGGCUAACUACGUG